rnacentral:rRNA from 1 species
GAUGAACGCUGGCGGCGUGCCUAAUACAUGCAAGUCGAGCGAACAGACGAGGAGCUUGCUCCUUUGACGUUAGCGGCGGACGGGUGAGUAACACGUAGGUAACCUACCUAUAAGACUGGGAUAACUUCGGGAAACCGGAGCUAAUACCGGAUAAUAUUUCGAACCGCAUGGUUCGAUAGUGAAAGAUGGCUUUGCUAUCACUUAUAGAUGGACCUGCGCCGUAUUAGCUAGUUGGUAAGGUAACGGCUUACCAAGGCAACGAUACGUAGCCGACCUGAGAGGGUGAUCGGCCACACUGGAAGUGAGGCAGGGUCCAGACUCCUACGGGAGGCAGCAGUAGGGAAUCUUCCGCAAUGGGCGAAAGCCUGACGGAGCAACGCCGCGUGAGUGAUGAAGGUCUUCGGAUCGUAAAACUCUGUUAUUAGGGAAGAACAAACGUGUAAGUAACUGUGCACGUAUUGACGGUACCUGAUCAGAAAGCCACGGCGAACUACGUG